rnacentral:rRNA from 1 species
UACCAGCACCCCGAGUGGUCGGGACGUUUAUUGGGCCUAAAGCAUCCGUAGCCGGUUCUGCAAGUCUUCCGUUAAAUCCACCUGCUUAACAGAUGGGCUGCGGAGGAUACUAUGGAGCUAGGAGGCGGGAGAGGCAAGCGGUACUUAGUGGGUAGGGGUAAAAUCCGUUGAUCCAUUGAAGACCACCAGUGGCGAAGGCGGCUUGCCAGAACGCACUCGACGGUGAGGGAUGAAAGCUGGGGGAGCAAACCGG